rnacentral:snRNA from 1 species
AAACCAUGAUAACAUAAAUUAAA